AAAAAUUUAGUUAAUAUAUAUAUAACCCUAGAUUGUCAAUCUAGAAUAAUCUUAAAAGUUAAUUUUUA
rnacentral:tRNA from 1 species